rnacentral:lncRNA from 1 species
CACUUCGUUCCAGCUUCUCAUCCUGAGCUACAGACAUUUUAAAUCUAGAUCGGAAGAGCAAGGCGUUAACCAAGGCCAAAUGGUUGAGCCAACAAUUCAUCCCUUCAGCAAGCGUUUAUCGAGCACUUACUGUGUAGCAAGCCCUGUGCCAGGUCUUGGGCAGGAGGUGGAGAAGGCUUCCAUCUAUUUUCAGCAGGUGUUGGAAAACCAACAUAUAUUGAUAGCCACCGGCUCAAG